CCCGCCGUGAUGCCAAUCUCUUCCAGCACAGAAUGCAAUAGCGACUUCUUCAUCCAAAUCGCGCUCAGAAACCUGCAACCAGAUAAAUCAAUUCGCCCAAAUCUGAGCUACAUUCAGAAUCCCUAAGGCAAAUCGCGACGGUGAACCCUAGAUUAAAGGUUUAUUCGGUGUAAUUUCUAGGGUUGAGGAUUUGGGAUGUUUUACUCGGUGCAAAGUCGAAAUCAAUCGGUGGAUUAAUGACAAACCU
rnacentral:sRNA from 1 species